GGUGAGAAGCGGGAGAAGCGCCCGCCGGACGCUGGCGGGAGAUAUGCCACGUCUCCGCCACCUACUGGGCGAAUUAGCGGCAAGCACAGAGCACCCACGUCUGAAGAGCACGUCUGAAGCCUUGAGAGAUUAGAUACGAGUCUCAGUGGUGAGAGAGCAGAGUCGAAUCAAGCAGUGAGAGAAAUGAGUCGUAUGGGUUGAAGCCCUCGGAUUCAAUCGGGCGAAAACGUAAUCAACCCAGCGUCCAAUCUUCAUCCAAUCCAACCAGAGACGCCGCCGUUGAUUUUCCGCAGUUGCAAUGGCAUCCCUAGCAGCAUCCAUGUCAGCUGCCAAGAUUGCUUGAUGAUCCUCCUCCUCAACUCUAGCUUGUACUCUUUCAACAAAUUUAUCAUUCUCUUUUGGGAGCAAAUGGCCUGCAUAAAGACAAAAACUACCACAAGUUAGACUCAGCAGGAUGUUGAGGAGGGACGUCUAAAAUAUUUAGCUAUAGCUGAAUAUACAGACAGAAGAAGAGACAUUCAUUGCUCUUACCUAGCAUGGCAUAUCAACACUCAAAUGAAGGCUCUGGUCCCAGCAACAUUUUUGAGGAAACUUCUGAUUCAACUGUGUAGAUUAAUAUCAAGACUUUAGAGUCACAAAUAAAUAGUGUUCAAGUGGAUAAAAAUGUGAGCUAUGGUCUUAUUUCUGCAUCGUUGCUUUUUUUGUUU